AAAAACCAAAAUGGCGCGUGAAAGAAGUCCGAUUUUGUCAUGCUAAAUAAGUUCAGCAUUCAGUUCAAAAUAUGGAGUGUAAUGCAUCAUGACAAACCCGAAACCACAAACAAAAUAGUCAAACAAUGCUGUUGGUUCGCAACUUUCAGCAUCUGGAAAAUCGUUCCGUGAAAAAAUCGUGCGCUGGCAAGUAAUAUCGGUGCUGAAAUCGUCAUUUAAAUACGCUGGCGGAGACCCUGUCGAGACCAAAUCACCAGAAAAGGCACGUAUAUAAAAAUUCCCGGCAGUAUCGCCAGCUGCCCUCCUUAAGCUUGCUGUAUUAUUAUCCGCGCCAGAUUUCUGCCAUCAUAUCAUCAUACCUGUGUUCGUUUUCAUCAGCAAACUCCUGCCUCGGUUUUAAUUUAAACAUCAACUCCGGAGCCCGGACUGUUACUGGUUAUGACGAUGCUGGAGUGCAAUUCGAACCGCUUUCAACUACCUGAAAGGAGCUACAUAUGUGUACUGCUGGAGCUUUCAGUAACCGUAUUUCCGGCGGUGUUCCGUUGCAGAGUAACCAGCUGACUAUGGAUGCGAUCAGUAGUAGUGAGAAAAAUUACUUGCUACCAAGCUUGCUACCCAUUUUCCAUCUCAUCGAGGUGUCGCACCCCACCAGAUCUUCCAGCACAUCUGGGCUGCGAUGAUUUUGUCGCUGAAUGGAUAGACUAAACGCUGCGAGCCUCUUGAAGAUGCUGGAGAUGAUUUUCACCAUCAGGUGCAUGAAACGCAAGUUAUUUAUGAGCUGAUCAUCGAAUUCAUAUGGAGUUUGGAGUGCAUCGACUGAUAUCUGCUGUCAGUAUCAAAUAAUCGCUCACGAGGACCUAACUUGCUGGAAGCACUCGACAAAAUUCACUUAUAGGUCAUUGCGCGCGGCAAACCUAACUUCACUAUUUUGACAGGUACUGGUCCUGUUGUUUACGUUUCGGACUUAGAAUUUUUUAUCCAAAUUAAAUCUGCAUAUUGCACGAUGUUGAAGACAUUCCAUUCUGUACAUUCCGCAUUCAAAUAUUGGUAAUUAUCGAUAAGUUUAGGUAAUUAUCGAUCAGAAAAUCCAAAGAAUCAUAGAAGAAUCUCAAAAUUAAAAUAAAGUCGUCUGUAAACAACAGGACCAGUACCUGUCAAAAGUCGUGCGUGACGUCACUGUGCAAUGGAGUAUUGCUUUAUGGUAGCUUCGAGGCUGAAACCGAAACCGCUGGAAAUUUCACACUGCUCGAAUGUAGGGUUUUGUCCACCAAGGAUAGGAAACAGAUUUCAACCGAUUCCACUGAAGAGAAAUGUGGGCUACUCACAAUAAAGUAGCGGUGGCUGUUGAAGUUCGUCGUAUGGAAGUAGUAGCAGCACACAAUUCACAUGUGGAAUUGCGAAAAAAACCGACAAAAGCUGCCAACUAAUGUACAUUUUUUCUUUGUCUUGAAAAUAAAAGUUGAAGUUGAAGAAAUUUCAA